rnacentral:rRNA from 1 species
GAUGAACGCUGGCGGCGUGCCUAAUACAUGCAAGUCGAGCGAACAGAUGAGGAGCUUGCUCCUCUGACGUUAGCGGCGGACGGGUGAGUAACACGUGGAUAACCUACCUAUAAGACUGGGAUAACUUCGGGAAACCGGAGCUAAUACCGGAUAAUAUAUUGAACCGCAUGGUUCAAUAGUGAAAGACGGUUUUGCUGUCACUUAUAGAUGGAUCCGCGCCGCAUUAGCUAGUUGGUAAGGUAACGGCUUACCAAGGCAACGAUGCGUAGCCGACCUGAGAGGGUGAUCGGCCACCCUGGAACUGAGACACGGUCCAGACUCCUACGGGAGGCAGCAGUAGGGAAUCUUCCGCAAAGGGCGAAAGCCUGACGGAGCAACGCCGCGUGAGUGAUGAAGGUCUUCGGAUCGUAAAACUCUGUUAUUAGGGAAGAACAAAUGUGUAAGUAACUAUGCACGUCUUGACGGUACCUAAUCAGAAAGCCACGGCUAACUACGUG